rnacentral:rRNA from 1 species
UACGGAGGGGGCUAGCGUUGUUCGGAAUUACUGGGCGUAAAGCGCGCGUAGGCGGACCUGCAAGUCGGGGGUGAAAUCCCCGGGCUCAACCCGGGAACUGCGUCCGAUACUGGAAGGCUUGAAUCCGGGAGAGGGAUGCGGAAUUCCAGGUGUAGCGGUGAAAUGCGCAGAUAUCAGGAAGAACACCCGUGGCGAAAGCGGCUCUCUGGGACGGUACUGACGCUGAGACGCGAAAGCGUGGGGAGCGAACAGG